rnacentral:rRNA from 1 species
GUCCACGCCCUAAACGAUGUCAACUAGUUGUCGGGGAUUCGUUUCCUUGGUAACGCAGCUAACGCGUGAAGUUGACCGCCUGGGGAGUACGGCCGCAAGGUUAAAACUCAAAGGAAUUGACGGGGACCCGCACAAGCGGUGGAUGAUGUGGAUUAAUUCGAUGCAACGCGAAAACCUUACCUACGCUUGACAUGUCAGGAACCUCGAAGAGAUUUGAGGGUGCCCGAAAGGGAACCUGAACACAGGUGCUGCAUGGCUGUCGU